GGGAGCGUAGCUCAGGGGCAGAGCGCGGGAUCGACGGGGCGGCCGGCAAGCCUGGUCAGAAAACAUCCCGAGGUCGGCGGUUCAAAUCCGUCCGCUUCCA
rnacentral:tRNA from 1 species